CAGCCGUAAACUAUGCUCGCUAGGUGUCAGGGACGGUGCGACCGUUUCUGGUGCCGCAGGGAAGCCGUGAAGCGAGCCACCUGGGAAGUACGGUCGCAAGGCUGAAACUUAAAGGAAUUGGCGGGGGAGCACUACAACGGGUGGAGCCUGCGGUUUAAUUGGACUCAACGCCGGAAAACUCACCGGGGCGACAGCAAUAUGUAGGUCAAGCUGAAGACUUUGUCCGGAUUAGUCUGAGAGGUGGUGCAUGGCGUAGUCGUGU
rnacentral:rRNA from 1 species